rnacentral:misc_RNA from 1 species
AAAAAAUUAAACAAAGAGUCCCUUUUCAAGAAAGAAUGUUUUCCUGGCUAAAGGAAGACCUCAAUGGACAAGACCAUAAUGAUGACAACGGUGGAAGGAGAAAAUAAUGAGGAAGCAUGGCAAAUGCUUGAUGGACAAGUGACAAGUGAAAACUGUGCAUGUGCAAUCUGAUUAAGAUCCCCGUCAGAAAUUUAAUGGCCGGUUAAGAAAGGACAAGCAAUACUAAAAAGAGAGCAUAUUAUAUGGGAUUGUCCAUAAGCUCAUCAUGAAUUAUUGCACUACCAUUAAUUGUUUGGUAAUUCGUCUUGUCAUAUCAUACUAAACGCAAGGAUUUGUACCCAUUUCUUCAUUUAUCCUUCUGCUUUUCUAACACUUUCGUCAUCAAACACACCACUUAAUCAAAUACUCAACUUGAUCUCUAAAGGACCUUCUGUCUCUUACAUACGCAUACAUACUACAUAAAUACAUGCAAGCAUAUCAUCCCAAGACUUACUGUAUAGAUUAUGCGAAAACCAGUCUUGCCAUCCCACACAUUGCUUCAAGGCUAAGGUACCAUCGACAUCAUUUAUAAUAUAAUUUAAAAGUUCAUUUCAUCAUGACAUGAAUGGUCUGCUUAUGCUUAGAUCACAAAAAUUAAUAUAAGAUUAUAACCCUGCUUCAAGAAUCAAGACUUGGGUGCAAUUAUAGUGGAAUUCAGAUUAUGUAAAGUUCAAUAUGGCAGAAUGAUUCAGGGACUAAUGCAUAUUGAAAGCAUCCAAAACAUUUGCCUAACACAGUUGAUAUUUUUGGCACGAAUCAUCUAAAGCACAGCAACACAUCUUUUUGCAUAUAUCUGAGUCAUUUUUUUUAAGUAUGCAGAUUUAAUUUCCAAACAGAGAUAAAUAUAUGAAAGCGGGAGAUUAUAUAAUUGCAAAGUCCAUCAAUUAAAGAAAAGAAAAUAUGAGCUAAAGGAUGCUACCAAAAUUGCCAUUCUUCCUUGAAAGAUAAGCAAGCAAACAAGAAUAGCAUCAAAAUUCAAGAGCACAAUCUAAAGCAGCAAUAUAAUCAUAAUGCUACACUUUUUAGUGGAGAAUAUUUUACAUAAAGCCACCAUUGCUUAAAAGGGAUGUUUAAACAGCAAACACUAGAAAAACCCAUGAUGGGAUUCCUCAACUCAUAAUUAAUUCCGUAUUCUACAUGCAAAUGAUCUAAUUAUCCAAAACAUCAUGAAGUUCCAUCUACAAGUGGAAAUAGAUCAAUGUUGGAAUUAGUCAAAUACAUCAUAAUCAAAAUGCCAAAUAUCAUUGUUCUGCUGACAGCAAUGCAAAGACUGAAGUAAAUGCUACUUCCACAAUAGUCCUAUGUGAUUAGCUUUGAGACAACAGUCCCAGACCGGCAAUUGCGGCCACAUUUCUCCAUCAAAUUUUACCUUUGAACUCCAAAGAGAUUUCCAGAAGGAAAACAUAACAAAUCUAAUGAAAUUUGGAACCAAAACUUUGAUUUCCAUACAGGUUAUAACUGAAGAACGAAGAAAGCCAAAAACAGAACACAUAAUUUGACUAACCAUUAAAAGCCAACAACCUUGCUUGUUGAGAUAUUGAACAUCUCUAGGCAAACAAAACUGACCAAACUAAUGAAUAAGCUAAUGUCUUUUGAAAAAAGCUGAAGUGCAAAAAAUUGAUUUGCACGGAGACUAGAAUCAUGAACAAGAAAAGAACAGCCGGCCUACGUAAUAAUUAACCGAGGUUCACCCCUUUUUCUAAAGUUAACUUCACCCAACAAAAGAAUAUGAAAAUGAAAGCUCAAGCUAAUAUGCAAUAUACUCUCCAACACUUGGUGAGUGUGAGGGAUGCUAUUGCUAACCAGAACUACUUUCUUAUUCUCUCCGCUAAUCAAACCAUCAAAAGCCGGAAAUCUUUUUUGAAUUUGCAAUUUUAUUGAUGAAGAAAACCUUCACUCAAGUCAUUUCAAAUCUCAAACAGAAAUUUCCAUAAAAUAUCAAUGUCCAAACAGGACAAAACCCUAACAAAGUCUCAAUUGUCAGUCUAUUGUAUGUGGUUCCUAAAAAAUUCACGUUUGUUGAAAUUUCUUCUUUUAUCCAUGUUCAAAAUCACCAUUUAAUACCUCAUGCAAAUGUAUAAAUCAAGUAAAAUAAAUUGAAAUUAAACUAUAAUUAGUGAGAAAAAAAAAAUCAAGUCUGAUUUUGAUGUGCUCUGCCCAUUUCAUCUUUGAAUUAAAUUUCCUUCAAAUGAUUACGUUAAAAACUUUCAAACUUUCUUCACGUUUAUUUUCUUUAUUCCUACUAUUUUAUUCAAACCAAUGACUUAAAUUUGACUUAAUUUAUCCUUCAGUUGCUUUCCAAUGCCCCAAACUUCCUAGAAGUCAUUUUAUAUGUUGCUACGAUUAAACUUCAUUUUCGUUGCUUCUUCUA